rnacentral:misc_RNA from 1 species
UGUUGCUGCUGUUCUCGCUGUGCCUGGUGCUGCUGCUGCUAGUAGUAUUACGGAACGUAAAGGCAUGGAUUACACAGAUUCCCACUUUUAUUCCGUCUGAAGAUUUCAGGAUUCUGAUUUAUGUUUGUAUUCCUAUUAUUUCCGGUUUGUUUGAAUUCGGCAGUACCACGGGAUUUUGCUAUGGACGUAUCCUGAUGUUCCAUCUUGUCUAUAGUUGUAUUCUAAUAUGGCUAGAAUCGAAAAUAUAGUGAGUUGGAAAAUUAUUCUUCAAUUCGUGCAAGUCGGAGUGUAGGCAGCAAGUCCACCUGAGCACUAAUUAAUCCCAAUACCAGGCAUCUUGUGCUACCCAUUGAUGUUUUGUGGAUCACAGGAUCAGAAGGUGGAAACUAUUAUUAUUCAUUUGGUGGUUGACACAGAAUUGAAGCAUACACAGCUUUACAGGAGAGAGGCAUUCCUUGUAAACUAAUUAAAGGCACAGCAGAAGACCUUAAGGUUUACAUGGGAUCAUCUGCUCCUGAUCUUCGAUAGAAAAGGUCCUGGAUGUCGGUCCAGUGGUCAUGAAAGCUAAUACUUACUGGAGCUGACUAACACUGCAAAACUAGCGACACAACCAAUAAUAACAAUAAUUCCUGAGAUAAACACAAAGACUGUUUACUGUAACAAAAUGUCUGUUAUUCAUCCCUGAUGCAUGAGCUUUCUAGAAAUUUAAGACUGGAAUCCUAAGAAGAAAAUAUCUUAUCAAAAAUGUCGACGUUGAUCUUGGAAAUGAAUUGGUAGAAGCUGAUCCUUUCCUUUGACUAAACAUCCUCUUUGUAAUAAUAAUAAUAAUAAUAAUAAUAAUAAUAAUAAUAAUAAUAAUAAUAAUAAUAAUAACAAUAAUUAUAAUUAUAAUGAUAAUGGUAGCAAAGACAAGUCAUAACAACCUGGUAUAUGUUUGUUUGUCCAUCCACAUCCUGGAAACAUAAUGGAAGCUGACAGAAAUCGCAAAGUUAUUAUGGUCGAACCUUUGACUAAUGAACAGCAUAUCUUUGCUUAUAACGUCUCCAAUAUAACUGAUAGUCCAGAGGCGGGACUAAAUCAGUUCGGAACCACUAUUGGACCAUUAGAUGACCAGAUUUGGACUCCAGACGUAAUCCAACGUGUCGCGUCACUAGUUGUGAUCAUGGUCAUUACAUUAAUAGGAAAUACAAUAAUCAUAAUAGUACUGACUUGUAGUAAAUAUAAGAAGAAAAACAGUCGUGUGAAUAUUUUCAUUAUAAAUUUAGCUAUUGGGGACCUGACUGUGUGUUUCGCUACCAUGACUACAGAAAUUCUCUUCGUUUGCUUUGGUGAGUGGGUCCUAGGACCUGCUGCGUGCAAGAUCUUACCUUACCUACAGAUUGUCACUCUAGCUAGUACGACCUUCAUACUCACUGCCAUGAGUUAUGACCGUUUCAUGGCUAUCUGCAACCCAUUAAAUUUUAGAAACACCAUUCACCAAGCUCGAAUAUCGAUUGCAGCAGCUUGGAUUAUGGCGUUCGGAUUCGCUGUACCACAGCUCUUCAUUUUUGUACAAACUGUCAAAGGGGUACAUCCAAAUGGUAAGAAAAAAUAUGGUUGCCAAACUCAUGGUUACACUGGGGAAUGGCAAAGAAAAGUCUAUUUUACCUUUUUGACAACAUACAUUCUCAUCAUACCGGCCAUUCUGAUCUCAUAUUUCUAUAUUAAUGUAGUGCUUGCUGUUUGGCGAGCAAGUCGAGAGAUAGUCAACACAGCAGGAGAAGGGACGCUUCGUAGGAGUGUCCCAAAUCGCAGUACAAUACCACGCGCCAAAAUCAAAACAAUCAAAAUGACUUUAAGUAUCAUAACAACUUUUAUUGCUUGCUGGACCCCAUAUUUUGUUGUCAAUCUGAUACGAAUAUACAGCAAUUACAAAUACGAUAUUCCAGCUACGGUGAUUGCUUUCGCUGAAACAAUGGCCCUCUUACAGAGUGGGUUGAAUCCUUUGGUUUACGGUUUUUUCAAUAUUAAGCUGAAGAGAGGACUCAUGGAGGUCUUCUGCCCUCACAAGAUACCAAGACUGAACAGGAAUCAAAGUUUACGCACUGUGCUGCCGACAGAGUGUGUAUCAGUCGCUGAGGAUUUCAAAAGCUCUCGAAGUUCUGUGCGAAGCGGACGAGAAUAUCAUCUUGUUAAUCAGACUAACAACGUACCAACUCCAACAGGUGACAGACAACGAAACCAGAGUUCCAUUAUUACAGAAGAAAACACGAACGGGUACAGAUUACGGGUAAGGUUUACUCCCAAAGAAACAACUCAUCCAACGGAUAGUAAACACGGCGAAGAAAAUACUCUGGAAGAGGAUUUGCAGCCAAGUACCGAAUGUGAAACCACAAAAGUAUAAAAUAUAUAUUGAAAUAUUUCAAAAGAAACAAGUGAAGCGAUCUUGAAAGAGAUAUCUCAAAUGUGUUCACAUCAAACUCAUCAGUCUAUAUAUGUACAAAGACUCAAAUUUGUGAGAUGGUAUUGUGGAUUUUAUCGAACUCUAGUAUUUGAAAGGUGUUUUGUUUUGUAGUUACCAGAAGAAUGAACAAAAAAAAAGUAAAAUCUCGACGGGAUUUGAACUCAGAACAUAAAAUUCUAAAUACCACCAGGCAUUUUGUCUAUCACUGUAACCUAGUCUACCAGUCCCACAACAUUAUUAUUAUUAACAUCGUUAUUGUGGCAAUCACUGCAGAACAUUGAUAACCCUUCGGCAAAUUGAUGCAGUUUCGAAUCCUUUUUUGAAAACAUUUCGAUAUUUUUGCGCCUGAAAUGACGUUGGGAAAAGCGUAAAUUUCACACUUCUCAUUCCUCAACCUUUCAAGAACCGGGGCCCUGUUCCUAAUAAAAAACAAAAAUAUGUUGUUAUUAUUA